rnacentral:rRNA from 1 species
UACGGAAGGGGCAAGCGUUGUUCGGAAUCAUUGGGCGUAAAGGGCGCGUAGGUGGUUCUGUAUGUCUACCGUGAAAGCGUACGGCUCAACCGUAUUUUGUCGGUAGAAACUGCAGGACUUGAGGCUGGGAGGGGCUGGUGGAAUUCCCUGUGUAGCGGUGAAAUGCGCAGAUAUCAGGAGGAACACCGGUGGCGAAGGCGGUUCUCUGGGCCGUAACUGACGCUGAGGAGCGAAGGCAUGGGGAGCGAACAGG